UCAAUUAUUAAUGGGUUUAAAUAAUUAUUUUGCCACCUUGUCUUCGUACCAUUAUCGAAAUUGAAACAAACAAUAUUUUUUUUCUAGCAUUUUCGCAAAGUUUUGUCAGCUACUAUAUUCCAGCCGCGAAAUUAUGCAACGUUGGCGGGAACGCUAAUGGUAUUUAACCUUUGAAGGACGAGUCUGGUCGAAACAUCGACCACUACCUAGUUUGGUGGUUUGGUCGGGUACUCCACUUGAAAAAUUCAUUGAUAUGAUGCACAAAUUUUGCGUAAAAAAGUACCGCGGCGAUGAUAACCUGGACGUAAAAAAAUUACUGAAAUAUUACCGCCUUAUAAUUUAAACGGAAGUAUAUUGAGAUGCGACUCUAUAAGCAUCGCUAUAUAAUAAGAAAUAUACGACAACGAAUUCUGUUGAUACUCCAAAAUCCGCGCCACGGUAUCCGCGCUGACAAAUGUCCCGCAACCACGAACGGUAGUGCUGCUAGGCGGUGGAAUUGUCGGACCGUUCAUCACUUAUGGACAUGACCAUUCUUCCAACAUUGCAUUCGGGCUUCGGGCUCCUUGCUCCUUUCUCCUUUACUCUAGUCUUCGUGGACUCGAUGCAUCAAAUUUGAUCAUUAUAUACUUUGGAAAAAAAGACGUAUUAAUCCGGCAAAAUGCAUUUGACAUUCGUUAAUUUCGCUAAGAAAAUGAGAAUGGCACCUUUUAAUUUUCGAGG